rnacentral:lncRNA from 1 species
GCGCUGUUGCCGCUCGGGCGGGAGCGUAGUCGCUGUCAGCGCAGGCGCCGAUGUGGAGGGGCUUUUCCCGCCUCGCGAGAGGAGGAGGCUGGUGGCUGCAAGCUGCGUGUGCCGCGCCUCGGAUUCGGGCGGCGUCGCUGAGCUGUGCCGUUCCCUGUCUUUUCCGAUUGCCGCCCGGAGUGAGGCCGGGCAGGGCUGGGCGACCGCGCGGGAGCGAGGUGGGAGCCGACUACGCUUGGCGGUGUAACUGCCGGGCAGGUGGCACUGGGAGAUCGCGUCUCACCUCUCUCGCUGCUGAACGUCAUCUGAUAGAAGUCCACAUUUUAGAAUCCAUUCCAACCAGGAGUCUGGGUGUAUAUAAAAUCCUGGCCUUUGGAACCACUACAAGAGAAGUUGAAAUGACCCUUCCAAGUUCUACUGUCCACCUACCCUGCAGUGAAACUGGAAGGAAAAGGACCCUGGCUCAGAUUAAGAAGGCACCUUCCACGAGGAAUGUCAAACAGACCAUCUCACUGUUGAAAGAUAAUAUAAUUAAGCAAACAUAAUGUAUAAAAUAACUUUGCUAGUAGGAAUUUGCUUUGUAGGUUGCGAAGGAUGGAAAAACAAUGUACACUUACAAAUAGUAGGGAAACUAACUAAUGUAACUAAUUCCUGUAAUUGCUGAACGUGUACCUUAGAUGAUCUUAUGAGGAGAGAAUCAAACAAAUAAUACAUGCCUUGGGAAAAAUGUACCAGACAGAUCCACAUGGAGGAAAUGAAGGUAUGUUUGCUAGUAGACUAAUGCCCUCGAUCAGGGUCAGUUACCUUGUGCACUUGGGGAGAUAUUUGCAGCAAUGCAGAUUUGGAACAGCAGUGCAAUGACUGGGGUAUAUUCACUUAAAUACAAAGUACUAGAAAGACUAAAAAAAAGCAGCAAUCCGUUAGUUGAGAAGCCAACUCAGUGCCAUUCUUUUCUUGGCUGGCUCUUCCUUAUGCUGAAAAAUUGAAAAAAGCAAUAGUCUGACUGUUGUUGGAGUUAUAAUAAUGUAGUGAAGGUAGUAGCGUGUUAGCUACAAAACCUCAAAGUAAAAAGGAGGAAUUGAUACAGGCUGUAACAAUAUUAUUAAGCUUGCUAGUGUUGGUUGAUAGAAACCCCUGUCCUGCAAUUUGUUUAGGUAAUGGAAAGAGCUGUGUCCCUCAAUGAAGGAGGUAAAGAAGCUCUGCUGAGUCUUUGUACCAAGGAGAGGUCCUGUUUGGAACUGGUUACUGAAUAUGUAACAUACUUCUGGGAAACUUCUGCAUAUGUAACAGACCUCUUGGGAAAAUUCUGCAUGUGUAACACAAGUUAUGCAUAUAAACUGAAGAUCUUUUGUGUAAUCUAUGUGUGAUAGGAGAAUUACCCCCAUACAUCCAGUACUGCUAUUAAAGAAUGUCUGUUUUCUAACAGUCCAGCUUGAGUUGUAGAGUUUCCUGGCCAACUGUGUUACGGUAUCAUGGAAAACUUGCAUUGUCAGUAACAAUUGUAUAUAUUUAAUGGGUUCUUUUACACAAAAUGCUUUGAAGACCCUGUGGAACUUGUGUUAAGAUCUGAUGUGAGGGCACUCAUUAGUAAGAUUGCUUCAGUACUGAUACUGUACAUUAGGGCAGGCUUUUGGGAUCUCCUAAAGAGAGAAUCGGAAGUGUUUCUUCUUUAAUUUUGAUCAAGCUUUCCUUAUGUAUGCUGACGUCUAUCUAGACAUGACCAUACUUGGAAUCAUAGAAUGGUCUGGAUUGGGAGAGCCCUUUAAAGAUAACAGAAUCACAGAAUAGUUGAGGCUGGAAGGGACCACGUGGUCCAACCCCACACUCAAGCAGGGCCACCAAGAGCAGAUUGCCCAGAACUGUGUCCAGGUGGCUUUUGGAGAUCCUUAA